GACGAACGCUGGCGGCGUGCUUAACACAUGCAAGUCGAACGAUGAACCACUUCGGUGGGGAUUAGUGGCGAACGGGUGAGUAACACGUGGGCAAUCUGCCCUUCACUCUGGGACAAGCCCUGGAAACGGGGUCUAAUACCGGAUAACACUGUCACGGGCAUCUGUGGUGGUUAAAAGCUCCGGCGGUGAAGGAUGAGCCCGCGGCCUAUCAGCUUGUUGGUGAGGUAAUGGCUCACCAAGGCGACGACGGGUAGCCGGCCUGAGAGGGCGACCGGCCACACUGGGACUGAGACACGGCCCAGACUCCUACGGGAGGCAGCAGUGGGGAAUCUUGCGCAAUGGGCGAAAGCCUGACGCAGCGACGCCGCGUAAGGGAUGACGGCCU
rnacentral:rRNA from 1 species